CAGAAAUUGUUGUUCUUGAUGCCUGACUUUUCGUAAGGCCACAGCUCACAAUGGCCAAAAAUCCAAGGUGACUGUGUUCCCAGCACUCUGAUGGGUGCUCUCAUCACAAAGCCAUACUGUCCCAAGGGGUAGGGGGCACAGAGAGGUGACAUGGUGAACACUCCCCAAAGACUCACUUGACCCAGCACCAAGCUCACUGAGAUCCCCAGACACAUGCCACCAGCCAGGGAGUGACUUAGAACCCACUCGGUUCCUCUGGUUAAAGCAAUGCCUGGCUAAGACGGCUGACAUCAUCGCCACAUACAGGAAGGAAGGAAGAUGUGGGAGCAGAGAGGAAGAGGACCUAGAGGGUGAAGCAUCAAUGGAGAGCAGUCUCCCAAAGCAAUAGCGGGGAACGCAGCCAUGCCUGUAGGCUUCGUGCUCCCAAAUGGACCGAGACAAAAAGAUACGGAGACAAAAGCUCAGAUCCUGUGCUUGUCACUGAUGCUAAAUGCUUACGACGGUAACAGAGAGCCUGCAGCAGCGAUGUGGAUUUAUAGAAACCAGAGCCCCUCCGUUGGCAGAAGGCUAUGAGGAAAUGCAUUGCUUACACAUGAAGUAAGAGCUUAAUAAUUGUGACUUAAAACAAUUGUCAUUUAGAAUAUUUAAA
rnacentral:lncRNA from 1 species